CAGAGCUUCAGCUAGAUGUGCA
rnacentral:siRNA from 1 species